rnacentral:snRNA from 1 species
GUCCCUUCGGGGACAUUCAAUAAAAUUGGAACGAUACAGAGAAAAUUAGCAUGGCCCCUGCGCAAGGAUGACACGAACAAAUUGAGACAUGGUCCAAAUUUUU